rfam:Gossypium raimondii Chr09_contig_1475, whole genome shotgun sequence.
AUUCCAUGAUGAGGGCAUAUUCAUAAUAGUUCUUUAAACCUCUCCCAUGCCUCAUACAAGGACUCAUCAUCCAAUUGUUGGAAGGUAGUAAUCUCAUUCCUCAACUU